rnacentral:rRNA from 1 species
CAAGGGAGUGCCCUUCGGGAACCUGGAGACAGGUGCUGCAUGGGCUGUCGUCAGCUCGUGUCGUGAGAUGUUGGGUUAAGUCCCGCAACGAGCGCAACCCCUACGUUUAGUUGCUAACAGGUGAAGCUGAGCACUCUAGACGAACUGCCGUUGACAAAACGGAGGAAGGUGGGAUGACGUCAAAUCAUCAUGCCCCUUAUGUUCUGGGCUACACACGUGCUACAAUGGCCGGUACAGACGGAGGCGAAGCCGCGAGGCGGAGCAAAUCCGAAAAAAGCCGGUCUCAGUUCGGAUUGCAGGCUGCAAUUCGCCUGCAUGAAGUCGGAAUCGCUAGUAAUCGCAGGUCAGCAUACUGCGGUGAAUACGUUCCCGGGCCUU